rnacentral:rRNA from 1 species
UACGGAGGAUGCGAGCGUUAUCCGGAUUUAUUGGGUUUAAAGGGUGCGUAGGCGGAUCGUUAAGUCAGUGGUCAAAUUGAGGGGCUCAACCCCUUCCCGCCAUUGAAACUGGCGAUCUUGAGUGGAAGAGAAGUAUGCGGAAUGCGUGGUGUAGCGGUGAAUUGCAUAGAUAUCACGCAGAACCCCGAUUGCGAAGGCAGCAUGCCGGCUUCCUACUGACGCUGAAGCACGAAAGCGUGGGGAUCGAACAGG